rnacentral:rRNA from 1 species
GGUCAAGUGACUAAGUGCAUGUGGUGGAUGCCUUGGCGAUUACAGGCGAUGAAGGACGUUGUAGCCUGCGAAAAGCUGCGGGGAGCUGGCAAACAAGCUUUGAUCCGCAGAUGUCCGAAUGGGGAAACCCACUCCGCAAGGAGUAUCCCAGACUGAAUACAUAGGUCUGAGGAAGCGAACCCGGCGAACUGAAACAUCUAAGUAGCCGGAGGAAAAGAAAUCAACCGAGAUUCCCUGAGUAGUGGCGAGCGAACGGGGAAGAGCCUGCAAGAGAUAACUGGUGCGUUAGCGGAACAGUCUGGAAAGGCUGGCCAUAGUGGGUGAUAGCCCCGUACGCGAAAACCUGCCAGCGAGACUAAGUUUGCGACAAGUAGGGCGGGACACGUGAAAUCCUGUCUGAAGAUGGGGGGACCAUCCUCCAAGGCUAAAUACUCGUAAUCGACCGAUAGUGAACUAGUACCGUGAGGGAAAGGCGAAAAGAACCCCGGGAGGGGAGUGAAAUAGAUCCUGAAACCGCAUGCAUACAAACAGUGGGAGCCUCGCAAGGGUGACUGCGUACCUUUGUAUAAUGGGUCAGCGACUUACGUUCAGUAGCGAGCUUAACCGAAUAGGGGAGGCGUAGGGAAACCGAGUCUGAUAAGGGCGAUUUAGUUGCUGGGCGUAGACCCGAAACCAAGUGAUCUAUCCAUGGCCAGGAUGAAGGUGCCGUAACAGGUACUGGAGGUCCGAACCCACUAACGUUGAAAAGUUAGGGGAUGAGCUGUGGAUAGGGGUGAAAGGCUAAACAAACUUGGAAAUAGCUGGUUCUCCCCGAAAGCUAUUUAGGUAGCGCCUCAUGUAUCACCAUCGGGGGUAGAGCACUGUAAUGGUUGGAGGGGUCAUCGCGAUCUACUCCGCCAUAGCAAACUCCGAAUACCGAUGAGUGCGAGCAUGGGAGACAGACCAGUGGGUGCUAACGUCCAUGGUCAAGAGGGAAACAACCCAGACCGCCAGCUAAGGUCCCAAAGCCAUGGUUAAGUGGAAAACGAGGUGGGAAGGCAUAGACAGUCAGGAGGUUGGCUUAGAAGCAGCCACCCUUUAAAGAAAGCGUAAUAGCUCACUGAUCGAGUCGUCCUGCGCGGAAGAUGUAACGGGGCUCAAACCAUGCACCGAAGCUGCGGAUAUCCGUAAGGAUAUGGUAGGGGAGCGUUCUGUAAGUCUGUGAAGGUGUCUUGUAAAGGAUGCUGGAGAUAUCAGAAGUGCGAAUGCUGACAUGAGUAGCGAUAAAGCGUGUGAAAAGCACGCUCGCCGAAAGCCAAAGGUUUCCUGCGCAACGUUCAUCGGCGCAGGGUGAGUCGGUCCCUAAGGCGAGGCCGAAAGGCGUAGUCGAUGGAAAACAGGUUAAUAUUCCUGUACCGCAGUCAUGACUGCGAUGGGGAGACGGAGAAGGUUAGCUCAGCCGGGUGUUGGACGUCCCGGUUUAAGCGUGUAGGCGUGCUGUCUAGGAAAAUCCGGACGGCUUAGCUGAGGCGUGAUGACGAGGCACUUCGGUGCUGAAGUGAGUAAUACCCUGCUUCCAGGAAAAGCCUCUAAGCUUCAGUCUGUGACGACCGUACCGCAAACCGACACAGGUGGGCAGGAUGAAAAUUCUAAGGCGCUUGAGAGAACUCAGGAGAAGGAACUCGGCAAAUUGAUACCGUAACUUCGGGAGAAGGUAUGCCUCGGUAGUGUGUAGCGGCUUGCCCGCGAAGCACGAUGAGGCCGCAGAGAAUCGGUGGCUGCGACUGUUUAAUAAAAACACAGCACUCUGCAAAGACGAAAGUCGACGUAUAGGGUGUGACGCCUGCCCGGUGCCGGAAGGUUAAGUGAUGGGGUGCAAGCUCUUGAUCGAAGCCCCGGUAAACGGCGGCCGUAACUAUAACGGUCCUAAGGUAGCGAAAUUCCUUGUCGGGUAAGUUCCGACCUGCACGAAUGGCGUAACGAUGGCCACACUGUCUCCUCCUGAGACUCAGCGAAGUUGAAAUGUUUGUGAAGAUGCAAUCUACCCGCGGCUAGACGGAAAGACCCCAUGAACCUUUACUGUAGCUUUGCAUUGGACUUUGACGGGACUUGUGUAGGAUAGGUGGGAGGCUGUGAGACGUGGUCGCCAGAUCGCGUGGAGCCAACCUUGAAAUACCACCCUGGUGUCGUUGAGGUUCUAACCUCGACCCGUGAAUCCGGGUCAGGGACCGUGCAUGGCAGGCAGUUUGACUGGGGCGGUCUCCUCCCAAAGUGUAACGGAGGAGUACGAAGGUCUUCUAGGUACGGUCGGACAUCGUACUGAUAGUGCAAUGGCAUAAGAAGGCUUGACUGCGAGACCCACAAGUCGAGCAGGUGCGAAAGCAGGUCAUAGUGAUCCGGUGGUUCUGUAUGGAAGGGCCAUCGCUCAACGGAUAAAAGGUACUCUGGGGAUAACAGGCUGAUUCCGCCCAAGAGUUCAUAUCGACGGCGGAGUUUGGCACCUCGAUGUCGGCUCAUCACAUCCUGGGGCUGUAGCCGGUCCCAAGGGUAUGGCUGUUCGCCAUUUAAAGUGGUACGUGAGCUGGGUUUAAAACGUCGUGAGACAGUUUGGUCCCUAUCUGCCGUGGGCGCUGGAAAUUUGAGAGGGCCUGCUCCUAGUACGAGAGGACCGGAGUGGACGGAUCUCUGGUGUACCGGUUGUGACGCCAGUCGCAUCGCCGGGUAGCUAAAUCCGGAAGAGAUAAACGCUGAAAGCAUCUAAGCGUGAAACUCGCCUCAAGAUGAGAUUUCCCGGGGACUCGAUCCCCCUGAAGGGUCGUCGUAGACCACGACGUUGAUAGGCUGGGUGUGGAAGCGCAGUAAUGCGUUAAGCUAACCAGUACUAAUUGCCCGUGCGGCUUGACCCU